UGGGGAAUUUUGGACAAUGGGCGAAAGCCUGAUCCAGCAAUGCCGCGUGUGUGAAGAAGGCCUUCGGGUUGUAAAGCACUUUUGUCCGGAAAGAAAUCCUUGGCUCUAAUACAGUCGGGGGAUGACGGUACCGGAAGAAUAAGCACCGGCUAACUACGUGCCAGCAGCCGCGGUAAUACGUAGGGUGCAAGCGUUAAUCGGAAUUACUGGGCGUAAAGCGUGCGCAGGCGGUUUGCUAAGACCGAUGUGAAAUCCCCGGGCUCAACCUGGGAACUGCAUUGGUGACUGGCAGGCUAGAGUAUGGCAGAGGGGGGUAGAAUUCCACGUGUAGCAGUGAAAUGCGUAGAGAUGUGGAGGAAUACCGAUGGCGAAGGCAGCCCCCUGGGCCAAUACUGACGCUCAUGCACGAAAGCGUGGGGAGCAAACAGGAUUAGAUACCCUGGUAGUCCACGCCCUAAACGAUGUCAACUAGUUGUUGGGGAUUCAUUUCCUUAGUAACGUAGCUAACGCGUGAAGUUGACCGCCUGGGGAGUACGGUCGCAAGAUUAAAACUCAAAGGAAUUGACGGGGUCAUAGCUGUUUCCUA
rnacentral:rRNA from 1 species